AAGGCAAUAAUCUGUUAAUUGCUGCUGAUGCUCUGAAAUGACACGUGCACAGUGAAGACAGGGGGACCGACCAGACUGGGGGACCGAUCAGACUGUGACACCAAUGAGUCUCUACAGAAAACUACAG